rnacentral:rRNA from 1 species
AAAUUGAAGAGUUUGAUCAUGGCUCAGAUUGAACGCUGGCGGCAGGCCUAACACAUGCAAGUCGAACGGUAGCACAGAGAGCUUGCUCUCGGGUGACGAGUGGCGGACGGGUGAGUAAUGUCUGGGAAACUGCCUGAUGGAGGGGGAUAACUACUGGAAACGGUGGCUAAUACCGCAUAACGUCGCAAGACCAAAGAGGGGGACCUUCGGGCCUCUUGCCAUCAGAUGUGCCCAGAUGGGAUUAGCUAGUUGGUGAGGUAACGGCUCACCAAAGCGACGAUCCCUAGCUGGUCUGAGAGGAUGACCAGCCACACUGGAACUGAGACACGGUCCAGACUCCUACGGGAGGCAGCAGUGGGGAAUAUUGCACAAUGGGCGCAAGCCUGAUGCAGCCAUGCCGCGUGUAUGAAGAAGGCCUUCGGGUUGUAAAGUACUUUCAGCGGGGAGGAAGGUGUUGUGGUUAAUAACC